UACAGCGGGGGCGAGCGUUGUUCGGAAUUACUGGGCGUAAAGGGCGCGUAGGCGGCCCGCUAAGUCGAACGUGAAAUCCCCAGGCUCAACCUGGGAACUGCGUCCGAUACUGGCAGGCUUGAAUCCGGGAGAGGGAUGUGGGAUUCCAGGUGUAGCGGUGAAAUGCGUAGAUAUCUGGAGGAACACCGGUGGCGAAGGCGGCAUCCUGGACCGGUAUUGACGCUGAGGCGCGAAAGCUAGGGGAGCAAACGGG
rnacentral:rRNA from 1 species